rnacentral:rRNA from 1 species
UACGUAGGCAGCGAGCGUUGUUCGGAAUCACUGGGCGUAAAGCGCACGUAGGCGGAUUUGUAAGUCAGGGGUGAAAUCCCGGGGCUCAACCUCGGAACUGCCUUUGAUACUGCAAGUCUUGAGUCCGAUAGAGGUGGGUGGAAUUCCUAGUGUAGAGGUGAAAUUCGUAGAUAUUAGGAAGAACACCGGUGGCGAAGGCGGCCCACUGGAUCGGUACUGACGCUGAGGUGCGAAAGCGUGGGGAGCAAACAGG